rnacentral:rRNA from 1 species
CCUACGGGAGGCAGCAGUGGGGAAUAUUGCACAAUGGGGGAAACCCUGAUGCAGCGACGCCGCGUGAGUGAAGAAGUAUUUCGGUAUGUAAAGCUCUAUCAGCAGGGAAGAAAAUGACGGUACCUGACCAAGAAGCCCCGGCUAACUACGUGCCAGCAGCCGCGGUAAUACGUAGGGGGCAAGCGUUAUCCGGAUUUACUGGGUGUAAAGGGAGCGUAGACGGCUGUGCAAGUCAGAAGUGAAAGCCCGGGGCUCAACCCCGGGACUGCUUUUGAAACUGCGUGGCUGGAGUGCAGGAGAGGUAA